AUCCCUGUAGCACAAUGGAUAGUGGAGUUGGGCUUCUAAUCCAAGGUCGUGGGUUCGAAUCCUACCUGGGAUG